UGCCCAAUACCAGAUGCACACAUGACUCUUCCUAUUAGCAACUUGUAACUAUAGCAAGAGUUUCAGGAAGUCUCAGUUCAUGGAAAAUGAGAUAUUUUCAUGAAAUAUGUAAGUGACCAUUCUCAAAUAGAAAUAUUUCUUGACAAAAAGGAAGCAAACAUAACUAAACAUGUAUGUACUAGUAUUUUCUUUCCUACUCAGAAGGUGUCCAGAAUUCAGGAUCAUCAAUAGCAUCUCCCAGAGCAUGUUACCAAUACAAUAUUACAAAUCCACUUCACAUCUACUGAAUGUGAAUUGGCAUUUCAACAAGUUAACAAGUAAUCUCGGAUCAAGUGGAGAUGUUGUGAUGACCCAGACUCCACUCCCCCUGCCUGUCACCCUAGGAGAGCCGGCCUCCAUCUCCUGCAGGUCUAUUCAGAACUUUCUAUAUAGCAAUGGAAACACAUAUUUGAAAUGGUUCCUGCAGAAGCCAGGCCAGUCUCCACAACUCCUGAUCUAUGAGGUUUCCAACUGAGAAUCUGGGAUCUCAGAAAGAUUCAGUGGCAGUGGGUCAGGCACAGAUUGCACAUUGAAAUGUAGCAGUGUGGAAACUGAGGAUGAUGGGGUGUAUUACUGCU